rnacentral:rRNA from 1 species
UUAGAGGAAGUAAAAGUCGUAACAAGGUCUCCGUAGGUGAACCUGCGGAGGGAUCAUUACACAAAUACAAUAUGAAGGCUUCGGCUGGAUUAUUUAUUUCACCCUUGUCUUUUGCGCACUUGUUGUUACCUGGGCGGGUUCGCCCGCCACCAGGACCACACCAUAAACCUUUUUUGUUUAAUGCAUUCAGCGUCAGUAUAACAAAUGUAAAUCAUCCUACAACUUUCAACAACGGAUCUCUUGGUUCUGGCAUCGAUGAAGAACGCAGCGAAAUGCGAUACGUAGUGUGAAUUGCAGAAUUCAGUGAAUCAUCGAAUCUUUGAACGCACAUUGCGCCCUUUGGUAUUCCAAAGGGCAUGCCUGUUCGAGCGUCAUUUGUACCCUCAAGCUUUGCUUGGUGUUGGGCGUCUUGUCUUUGUUCUCCAAAGACUCGCCUUAAAACGAUUGGCAGCCGACCUCCUGGUUUCGCAGCGCAGCACAAUUUUGCGCUUGCAAUCAGCAACAGAGGUUGGCACUCCAUGAAGCCUUUUUUUCUUACGUUUGACCUCGGAUCAGGUAGGGAUACCCGCUGAACUUAAGCAUAUCAAUAA